rnacentral:rRNA from 1 species
UACGUAGGGACCAAGCGUUGUUCGGAUUUACUGGGCGUAAAGGGCGCGUAGGCGGCGUGGUAAGUCACUUGUGAAAUCUCUGAGCUUAACUCAGAACGGCCAAGUGAUACUGCUGUGCUAGAGUGCAGAAGGGGCAAUCGGAAUUCUUGGUGUAGCGGUGAAAUGCGUAGAUAUCAGGAGGAACACCAAUUGCGAAGGCAGCUCGCUGGGACGUUACUGACGCUGAGACGCGAAAGCGUGGGGAGCAAACAGG